rnacentral:rRNA from 1 species
CCGCCUGUAAAGGAACUUGCCCCUUGACCAGGACUUGGGGACNAACAAUUNUGGGGAAAACCGGAAGUGCCGUAAAUACCGGAUAUUAUGACUGAGUCGCAUGAUUUGUUAUGAAAGCUAUAUGCCUUGUGAGAGAACUUUGCGUCCCAUUAGUUAAUUGGUGAGGUAACGGCUCACCAAGACGAUGGUGGGUAACCGGCCUGAGAGGGUGGACGGCCACAAGGCGGACUGAGACACGGCCCUUACUCCUACGGGAGACAGCAGUGGGGAAUAUUGGACAAUGGACCAAAAGUCUGAUCCAGCAAUUCUGUGUGCACGAUGAAGUUUUUCGGAAUGUAAAGUGCUUUCAGUUGGGAAGAAGUCAGUGACGGUACCAACAGAAGAAGCGACGGCUAAAUACGUGCCAGCAGCCGCGGUAAUACGUAUGUCGCAAGCGUUAUCCGGAUUUAUUGGGCGUAAAGCGCGUCUAGGCGGUUUAGUAAGUCUGAUGUGAAAAUGCGGGGCUCAACCCCGUAUUGCGUUGGAAACUGCUAAACUAGAGUACUGGAGAGGUAGGCGGAACUACAAGUGUAGAGGUGAAAUUCGUAGAUAUUUGUAGGAAUGCCGAUGGGGAAGCCAGCCUACUGGACAGAUACUGACGCUAAAGCGCGAAAGCGUGGGUAGCAAACAGGAUUAGAUACCCUGGUAGUCCACGCCGUAAACGAUGAUUACUAGGUGUUGGGGGUCGAACCUCAGCGCCCGAGCAAACGCGAUAAGUAAUCCGCCUGGGGAGUACUCUCAACGCAA